rnacentral:rRNA from 1 species
GACGAACGCUGGCGGCGUGCCUAAUGCAUGCAAGUCGAGCGGACUUAAAAAGCUUGCUUUUUAAGUUAGCGGCGGACGGGUGAGUAACACGUGGGCAACCUGCCUGUAAGACUGGGAUAACUUCGGGAAACCGGAGCUAAUACCGGAUAAUCCUUUCCUACUCAUGUAGGAAAGCUGAAAGACGGUUUACGCUGUCACUUACAGAUGGGCCCGCGGCGCAUUAGCUAGUUGGUGAGGUAACGGCUCACCAAGGCGACGAUGCGUAGCCGACCUGGGAGGGGUAUCGGCCACACUGGGACUGAGACACGGCCCAGACUCCUACGGGAGGCAGCAGUAGGGAAUCUUCCGCAAUGGACGAAAGUCUGACGGAGCAACGCCGCGUGAGUGAUGAAGGUUUUCGGAUCGUAAAUCUCUGUUGUUAGGGAAGAACAAGUACGAGAGUAACUGCUCGUACCCUGACGGUACCUAACCAGAAAGCCACGGCUAACUACGUGCCAGCCGCCGCCGUAA